rnacentral:lncRNA from 1 species
UUUUUUUUUUUUUCUCUUCUUUUUACGGGCUGCAAUUGGCAUGUGGAAGUUCCUGGCUAGGGGCUGCAUCUGAGCUGCAGCUGAGGCCACAGCCAAUGCAGGAUCUGAGCCAUGGCUGCAACCUAUGCUGCAGCUUGCGGCAACACUGUUUCCUUAACCCCCUGAGUGAGACCAGGGAUUGAACCCAAACUGCAUCCUCACAGACACUACGUCAUGUUCUUAACCCUCUGAGCCACAAUGACAACUCCCCAGUCAGGAUCUUGAGUUUCAGGCAGAUGUUCUGAAUGCCUUUGUUAGGACAAUAAAUAGUCAAAGGAGGGAGUUCCUGUUGUGGCUCAGCAGUAAUGAGCCCGACUAUUAUCCACAAGAAUGUGGGUUUGAUACCUGGCCUCGCUCAGCAGGUUAAGGAUCCAGCGUUGCCGUGAACUAUGGUAUAGUUCGCAGAUGCGGCUCAGGUCUGGCAUUGCCGUGGCUGUGGUGUAGGCCGGCACCUCCAAUUCGACUCCUAGCCUGGGAACUUCCAUAUGCUGCGAGUGUGCCCCCCCCCCCAAAAGUCAAAGGAUUAGAUUCCAUCCAGGCUGAGAUGUACCUAAGUCACACUUCCUCAGUGGCCUCCUGGCUCCGUUUUAGAGCUUGCUCAGCAAUAGCAAUUCGUUUUGGUUUUCCUUUCACACAUGAAUGGGAGUCUAGUGCCACAAGCUAUUCACAUUCUAGUUUCGGACUGACCUACAUCUGGGUGGGCGCACUCAGAUAUUGGAUUUUAAUUAAAUGAAAAGGCCGAAAGUUUUACAGAUAUUGUCUCCUAACCAACUGCCGCUUUAUCAUUCACAAUUCCUUAGAUCAGCCCCAAAGUCUUUAAGAGUGUGUAAUAGCACAAGAUUUUAAGCAGGCUCAAAUUUGGUUGCCACAAUCAGUUAUGAAAACUAUUUAUACUUUUAUAAAUUAAUGUAUAUGUGUGUGUGUAAAUUACAUAUACGUCUCUGCUGUCAGGCCCUGGAGUGAGUGUGUGGUUGCACUCUGAUUGAGAAGGGUACAAUAUGAUCCAUGGAUGGGGCUGUCAUUCCAUUUCCCUCCUGUGCCAAUAUUCCAUCACUCCACUGCUUUUUAGCUCUGUGCUUGGAGCUGAUGCCAACACAGAUGACUAAGAACCUUGGCCUUAAGGAGUUUGAAAUCUCACACAAGAGACUGCCCAGCAAACAGAAGAUGGCAACGCAGUGUGGUGGAUAUUUUCUCUGAAGAACUGCAGCCCUAAAUAAUAAAAAAGACAAAAAGUUUCAGAUAAGUGAGGGCCACCAAUGUCCUCCCUUCAAACUUGCUGUCAAGUGGAUGCUCCUAGGAAAACACGCAUCCGACUGAAGUUUGCAAUGCAUUUUGAGGUUUAUUAGCCAGGAGGACAGACAGAGCUAUACAAUCGCUACAGUUCAUAAAUCUGACCAAGUUCCAGCUCCCUGUUCUUUCCUCCAUCACAAGACGCACAUUAUGGAGUUUACCUGAGGCAAAAGGAAGGCUCUUUGAGUAACACGUUACAACCAAUGUUCUAGUUGGAUGAAGGGACAGAAUUCCCUGCUAGUGGCCUGUCCCCCAUUAGACAGGGUUCUAAGCCCAGGGUGCCACUCUGAAGGGUGAAGCCCUGUUCACACAAAGGUGAAUUUGCCUAUUCAGUACUUUUAACCAAUAUAUAUAUCGUGACUACCACAUACUUCACCGAUUAUUUUUAUCAUCAUCUCGCUAGUAAACAAAUCCUCUAGAGGCGAGUGAAAUUAACAAAAGAUAUUUGUAAUAGCCGUUCCAGCUGUAUGGGUUUCUUGUAUUUGAAUAUGGUAACUAACAACACCUAGAGGGUAUAUUCAUGACUAGGGUACUUCAAAUGUAGAAGUACCCUUAGGUACUAUUGCCCCUAGGGUGUGAAAUAGAACCAAUUAAUGCAUAUCAUGCUUUUUUUUUGCUUUCCAUUUCAGUUUUUUAAUUGCCUUAAAGAGAAGAACAAGCAGUUCCGGUCGUGGCUUGGCAGAAACAAAUCUGACUAGCAACCAUGAGGACACAGGUUCGAUCCCUGGCCUCUCUCUGUGGUUAAGGAUCUGGUGUUGCCGUGAGCUUUGGUGGUGUAGGGGUGUCUUUCCUUUCCUUUGGGCACUAGUCCAGUCUUUACUUUGCAUCAAUCCCUCACUGUGUAAUCUGCUGACCACCAUUAUUUAUUACUCAUGCUCAGUCUCUAGAUGCCUCCACCAGAAGUAAAACCGGCUGCGGUGGUCAGUCAUUAGAGACAAAGUUGACAGUAAGAAAGCCCCAGGGUUGCACGGUAUUACAGAGAUAGCAACUGGCGCCCAUCCACCUGCAAUGGCCACGAAGGGAGAGGGGAGAAGGGCAGAUCAGGAAGGGAUAGGAGGGAGUUCCCUGGUGGCCCAGCAGUUAAGGAUCUGGCAUCGUUACUGCCAUGACUCUGGUUAUUGCUGUAGCACAAGUUCGAUCCCUGGUCCGGGAACUUCCACAUGUUCUGGGGGUGGGGCCGGGGUGGGGAGGGGGAAGAAGGGAAAGGAAAAUGCCAUUGGCUAGGGGCGCUGGCCCAGUUCCAACUUCCCCCUGAAAUACAGUUAUCCUUUGAUAUCUAGAACUAACUCUUUCUAGCUUGUGUGAAAUGUGCUGAAUGACCAUUUUUUUAGAGAGUGGGAACCUUAUUUUCCUAAGUUGGAAAAAUAAUAGUGCUUCCUUGGUCACCUAAAACUUCAGCUGUCUUUUUUUCUGCAAAUUAAAACAAACAAACCAAAAAACCAGGAUAAUACUCUUAGACAAUUAUAUAAGAACCCACUGAGAAUUUUUGGAAAAAAAAAUAAAGCAUGUUGAAGCCUCGAGUAUAUAACAGUUAAUGCAUUUAUGAGUGGCUCUCUUUGUGAAACAUAGACAGUAUCUCUGAGCCUUAUCAGUUACAAUUAUGUUUUCCCUCUCCACCAUGCGGUGGGCAGGCACAGCAAUGGGAGUCAAUAAUGAAAUAGUAAGCCAUAGGCAGUAAAGUUUUUUUUGUUUUUUUUUUUGUUUUUUUUUUUUUUAGGGCUGUACUCACAGCACAUGGAGGUUCCCAGGCUAGGGGCUGAAUCAGAGCUGUAGCUGCCAGCCUACACCCCAGCCACAGCAACCCGGGAUCCAAGCUGCAUCUGUGACCUAUAUGACAGCUCACGGCAAUGCUGGAUCCUUAAUCCACUGAGUGAGGCCAGGGAUUGAACCUGCGUCCUCAUGGAUGCUAGUUCCAUUUGCUAACCGCUGAGCCACAACAGGAACUCCAGGCAUUAAAGUUUUUACGUUGGAUGCAGAUUGUUAGUCUCCCAGGUACUUUGGGGACCCUAACAUGGGAAUCGUGAAGGGCCCCAUCCCUAGAGCAGAGCCGGGAAGAUGACAGCCCUCCACAACCUAUGACCUGGGCUCAGGGCUCAGGACAGCUUAAUGUGCUCCCCACCCACCCCCAUUCAGGCAUACAUAGUUCUUGCAGUAUAUUUCAGAUUUUUGCUAGUGGGCUUGGGGGUGAAUAUUUUUUCAAAAGGUAGAAUAUUUUCUUUUUCUUUUUGUUUUUGGCCAUGCCC